CAGGGAGACCCUGUUUCUACAAAAAAAUUAAAAAAAUUAGCUGGGUGUGGUGACAUGGGCCUGUAGUCACAUUUACUUGAAGAAUCCCAGCUGAGGCAGGAGGAUCACUUGGGCCCAGGAAUUCAAGGCAAGGGAGCCGCGAUCGUGCCAUUGUGCUCCAGCUUGGGCGACAGAGUGAGACUUAAAAAUUAUGAAAUGUCCUCUCACCCUCGCCCAAAAGAGAUCACUCAUACGAUCAACACGCCACGGCUAGUAAUUGGUAAAGAGUGACCAAUAACAAGAUCCUCUAACUCUCCGUUGUGUUCUGUCAACUCUUCCUUCUAAAUCAUUAAUUUAUGGCGAGGUGGUGAGUAGUUAAUGAUGCUGUAAUAGACAGAGGAUGUGACAAAAGGUUGAAAACACAUUCCUCGAUGAUUAUGGUAUAAGGAGAACCACCUCUGAGUUUAGAAUUUAUAGGAUGUUUCAACCCCUGUGUUUCUAUAAUGGGCUUUUCUUUUCUUUUGAGACAGGGUCUCA
rnacentral:lncRNA from 1 species